GUAGGUGGCAAGCGUUGUCCGGGAAUUAUUGGGGCGUAAAGCGCGCGCAGGCGGGUUUUUUAAGUCUGAUGUGAAAGCCCACGGGCUCAACCGUGGGAGGGUCAUUGGAGACUGGAGAACUUGAGUACAGAAGAGGAAAGCGGAAUUCCACGUGUAGCGGUGAAAUGCGUAGAGAUGUGGAGGAACACCAGUGGCGAAGGCGGCUUUCUGGUCUGUAACUGACGCUGAGGCGCGAAAGCGUGGGGAGCAAACAGGAUUAGAUACCCUGGUAGUCCACGCCGUAAACGAUGAGUGCUAAGUGUUAGGGGGUUUCCGCCCCUUAGUGCUGCAGCUAACGCAUUAAGCACUCCGCCUGGGGAGUACGGCCGCAAAGGCUGA
rnacentral:rRNA from 1 species